rnacentral:rRNA from 1 species
CCUACGGGUGGCUGCAGUGGGGAAUAUUGCACAAUGGGGGAAACCCUGAUGCAGCAACGCCGCGUGAAGGAAGACGGUUUUCUGAUUGUAAACUUCUGUUCUUAGUGAAGAAUAAUGACGGUAGCUAAGGAGCAAGCGACGGCUAAAUACGUGCCAGCAGCCGCGGUAAUUCGUAGGUGCCAAGCGUGUUCCGGAAUUACUGGGUGUAAAGGGAGCGAUGGCGGGAAGCCAAGUCAGCGGUGAAAACUACGGGCUUAACUUGUAGACUGCAGUUGAAACUGGUUUUGUCGAGUGAAGGAGAGGUUGGCGGAAUGCCGAGUGUAGCGGUGAAAUGCGUAGAUAUUCGGAGGAACACCGGUGGCGAAGGCGGCCAACUGGGCUUUAACUGACGCUGAGGCUCGAAAGUGUGGGGAGCGAACAGGAUUAGAUACCCGGGUAGUC